rnacentral:rRNA from 1 species
AGAGUUUGAUCAUGGCUCAGCUGAACGCUGGCGGCGUGGCUAAGACAUGCAAGUCGAACGGGACCCGCAAAGGGUUCAGUGGCGGACGGGUCAGUAAUGAAUCGCUAAUGUACCCCGGAGCCAGGGAUAGCUGCCCGAAAGGGCAGGUAAUACCUGAUGAGACCACAGCAUCGCAUGAUGCAGUGCUCAAAGCAGCAAUGCACUCUGGGAGCAGGCGAUUUUGUAUCAGCUUGUUGGUGAGGUAACGGCUCACCAAGGCGACGACGCAUAGCCGGACUGAGAGGUUGGCCGGCGACAUUGGGACUGAGACACUGCCCAGACUCCUACGGGGGGCUGCAGUAACGAAUCUUCCGCAAUGCACGAAAGUGUGACGGAGCGACGCCGCGUGUAGGACGAAGCCCUUCGGGGUGUAAACUACUGUCAGGGGAAAGAAAGUUCUGAUCUACCCCAGAGGAAGGGACGGCUAACUCUGUGCCAGCAGCCGCGGUAAGACAGAGGUCCCGAGCGUUAGGCGGAAUCACUGGGCUUAAAGCGUGUGUAGGCGGAUUUGUAAGUACCUUGUGAAAUCCCACGGCUCAACCGUGGAACUGCUUGGUAUACUGCUUAUCUUGGGCCACUUAGGGGUUACCGGAACAAACGGUGGAGCGGUGAAAUGCGUAGAUAUCGUUUGGAACGCCAAUGGUGAAAACAGGUAACUGGGAGUGUGCCGACGCUGAGACACGAAAGCCAGGGGAGCGAACGGGAUUAGAUACCCCGGUAGUCCUGGCUGUAAACGAUGUCGACUAGAUCGUGGUGGCUCUGACGCCAUCACGGUCGAAGCAAAAGUGCUAAGUCGACCGCCUGGGAAGUACGGUCGCAAGGCUAAAACUCAAAGGAAUUGACGG